CGUCCCCUGGGGUCCCCUCCGCCUCUCCGCGCCGCGCGAGCACCACAGGACGUCGAUGGCCUUGGGGCCCCUGCUGAUACUCAAGCUGCCACCCUAAGACUGGCAGCGGAGAAGGCUCGGAGGUCGCUGGCAGAGACCGGUCGGCUCAAGUGGGUGGCCUCGGGUGAAGCGGAAGGACAGCGUCCUGGCGGGGCGCAGCCAGGGUCGUGGCCAGACUCCAGCUCCCCGCCCGGGGAACGAAGCCGGCGACGUUGUGGAAUGGUCCGGCGAGAAACGAGGAGGGUCCGGAGCGCACCGGCCACCCACCGGCGCCGAGGCUCGAGGCUCGGAGUCCUGCUCCUUGAGCAGCGCUGCGCAGCCUGCAGCAGACUGUACAGCACCUCCGGGCAUCACCUGGGGCUUCCUUGGCCUUUCUGUGACACUACAAGGACCCUUUCGGGGUGCUGAAGUAGGGACUCCAUCUCCAUCUCUACUUUAUUUUCACAUUUGAGAACCUGUUGAUGGGAUGGAUGAAAAUGCUGAAGUUGAUCACAGUGCUGAGAAUAUUCUUGAAGAUAAAUGGAAGAACUGUUAUAUGCAACAAAUCGGUCAGCUGUCUUUUCUGCCUGUACCACUUGGAGGGAAAAAAAAUCAGAAGGACUCUUUGCUUCCUCCUUCUGGAAGGAGUUGAGCUAAAGGACAAUCAGAUUCUGGGGUCUUCCUGGGACUUUCUUCUACUGGUGACGUGA
rnacentral:lncRNA from 1 species